CUGUAUUGAAGGGGGAGUGGUUUCUCCUCUCCUUGGUAAUCAGUGGCUGUAUUGAAGGGGGAGUGGUUUCUCCUCUCCUUGGUAAUCAGUGGCUGUAUUGAAGGGGGAGUGGUUUCUCCUCUCCUUGGUAAUCAGUGGCUGUAUUGAAGGGGGAGUGGUUUCUCCUCUCCUAGGUAAUCAGUGGCUGUAUUGAAGGGGGAGUGGUUUCUCCUCUCCUUGGUAAUCAGUGGCUGUAUUGAAGGGGGAGUGGUUUCUCCUCUCCUAGGUAAUCAGUGGCUGUAUUGAAGGGGGAGUGGUUUCUCCUCUCCUAGGUAAUCAGUGGCUGUAUUGAAGGGGGAGUGGUUUCUCCUCUCCUAGGUAAUCAGUGGCUGUAUUGAAGGGGGAGUGGUUUCUCCUCUCCUAGGUAAUCAGUGGCUGUAUUGAAGGGGGAGUGGUUUCUCCUCUCCUAGGUAAUCAGUGGCUGUAUUGAAGGGGGAGUGGUUUCUCCUCUCCUUGGUAAUCAGUGGCUGUAUUGAAGGGGGAGUGGUUCCUCCUCUCCUUGGUAAUCAGUGGCUGUAUUGAAGGGGGAGUGGUUUCUCCUCUCCUUGGUAAUCAGUGGCUGUAUUGAAGGGGGAGUGGUUUCUCCUCUCCUAGGUAAUCAGUGGCUGUAUUGAAGGGGGAGUGGCUCCUCCUCUCCUAGGUAAUCAGUGGCUGUAUUGAAGGGGGAGUGGUUUCUCCUCUCCUAGGUAAUCAGUGGCUCUAUUGAAGGGGGACUGGUUUCUCCUUCAGUCCCUAUACUUUUUGGCCCUGACACAGACAUCGAUCACCCCAGAGAAUACUGCUACUCCAUCUCUCCUGUCUUCAUCUGACUAUGUUUUCUCUCAUAGUCCGAGAGCAUCUGGUCGUCACGUCACGGUGAUGGCACAGGGCUUCUCAUUUCUCCUGACUGGAGAUUCUCUAUUCUCCCUCUCUCACCUGUUCAUCUCCUCAUUUGAAUUCCAUGUUGUCACUGUCUCUUGACCACUCAAGCUUCCACAUCGUUGUUAUUUAUCAUCCACCAUGUUGCCCUUACAGUUCCUCAAUGUGCUUGACACCUGAACCUUUAAACAGGUCAACAUUCACAAGGCCGCAGGGCCAGACGGAUUACCAGGACGUGUACUCGGAACAUGCGCUGACCAACUGGCAAGUGUCUUCACUGACAUUUUCAACCUCUCCCUGACUCAGUCUGUAAUACAUACAUGGUUCAAGCAGUCCACCACAGUCCCUGUGCCCAAGGAAGUGAAGGUAACCUGCCCAAAUGAUUACCGCCCCGCAGCACUCACGUCACCAAUUCACAUACCGCCCAACAGAUCCAUAGAUCACGCAAUCUCAAUCGCACUCCACACUGCCCUUUCCCACCUGGACGAAAGGAACACCUAUGUGAGAAUGCUGUUCAUUGACUACAGCUCAGCGUUCAACACCAUUGUGCCCACGAAGCUCAUCACUAAACUGAGGACUCUGGGACUAAACACCUCCCUCUGCAACCGGAUCCUGGACUUCCUGACGGGUCGCCCCCAGGUGGUGAGGGUAGGAAACAACACAUCUGCCACACUGAUCCUCAACACUGGGGCCCCUCAGGGGUGUGUACUUAGUCGAGAGUCGAGAGUUCCUUGGUGUCCACAUCACCAACGAUCUAUCAUGGCCCAAACAUGAUAGGGCACGACAAAACCUUUCCCCCUCAGGAGACAGAAAAGAUUUGGCACGUGUCCCCAGAUCCUUAAAAGGUUCUACAGCUGCACCAUCGGGAGCAUCCUGACCGGUUGCAUCACCGCCUGGUAUGACAACUGCUCAGCAUCUGACCGUAAGGCACUACAGAGGGUAGUGCAAAUGGCCCAGUACAUCACUGGGGCCAAGCUUCCUGCCAUCCAGGACCUCUAUACCAGGCGGCAUCUGACCGUACAGCGCUACAGAGGGUAGUGCAAAUGGCCCAGUACAUCACUGGGGCCAAGCUUCCUGCCAUCCAGGACCUCUAUACCAGGCGGCAUCUGACCGUACAGCGCUACAGAGGGUAGUGCAAAUGGCCCAGUACAUCACUGGGGCCAAGCUUCCUGCCAUCCAGGACCUCUAUAGAGGGUAGUGCAAAUGGCCCAGUACAUCACUGGGGCCAAGCUUCCUGCCAUCCAGGACCUAUAUAAUAGGCGGUGUCAGAGGAAAGCCCAUAAAAUCGUCAGACUCCAGUCACCCAAGUUUUCUCUGCUACCGCACGGCAAGCGGUACCGGAGCGACAAGUUUAGGACCAAAAGGCUCCUCAAUAGCUUCUACCCCCCAAGCCAUAAGACUGCUGAACAAUUAAUAAAAUCGCCACCGGAUUUGAUGAGCUCAUUUCCUGACGAUGGCUCGCUGCUCUUCGUACUGGGCGACUUCAACCUUCUGACUUUGACUUUCUUUCCACCUCUUUCUUUCCCCUCCUUGCCUCUUGUGACCUCACCCUUUCCCAGUCCCCUCCCACUCACAAGGCAGGCCAUAUGCUUGACCUCAUCUUUACUAGAGGUUGUUCUCCUACUAAUCUCACUGUAACCCCCUCCAGAUCUCUGUUCUCCUACUAAUCUCACUGCAACCCCCUCCAGGUCUCUGCUCUCCUACUAAUCUCACUGCAACCCCCUCCAGGUCUCUGUUCUCCUACUAAUCUCACUGUAACCCCCUCCAGGUCUCUGUUCUCCUACUAAUCUCACUGCAACCCCCUCCAGGUCUCUGAUCACUACUUAGUUUCCUUUUCUGUCUCCCUCUAUCAUUUUUCCCUCCUGUCUCCUGAUUCUGCCUCUUCAACCUUCCUCUUUUUCCUUUCCACAUCCUUCGACUUUCACUGUCCCCUUUCCUCCCGGCCUGCUAGAC